CUAGACGUGAAGAGAUUCAGCGUCAUAACGAGGAGGUUGAUGAGGCAACUGAUGUUUCUACCAAAGAACAAUUGAGUGUAAUUGUUCGAAUGGACAAAGGGGAAAGUGUCAUUGAAAGACAGCUUGGGUUUGUUGAUGGUAGUUGUGAUAGGACUGCAACUGCUAUAUCAUCAGUGGUUAAGGGUUGGGAUGAUGAAACGUUAAGUAAGGUUACUGGUUUACUUGGCUACCUUAAUGGCUUCUUGUUUUGUUUCUUGGUACAUGUUUU